UUUUUUUUUUUUUUUUUGCUAAUACAGGAUUAUUUUCCAUAUUCUUGCAGGUAAGAUUGGAUAUCGAAAAGGCUAUUCAGAAUUUCUUGACCUAAUUAAGAUCUACUUUUUCUUAAUAUAAUGAAAAUUUUGAGGCAGAAUGAAUUAUACUUAUGCAUAGACUCUGUACUUGGAAAGUUUCUUGAACAUUAAGGUGUUCCCGGUAAAUUUUCUUUUAAAUAAAUGUGUUUUACAAGACCGUAUAUAAUAUGGAACCUCAGUUACUUCAGGGUUUAAACAAAUAUUUUUAAGUUCAGAUUUCCACUAAUUAAAAAGAUCAGGAAAAAAAAAAAAAAGAUCAGGGUCAUGAUCUCCUGGUUGUUGAGCUCUGUGCUCAGCAGGGAGUCUGCUUGAGAUUUUUUCCUCUCUCUCUCGCCCCCCUCUACCCUUCUCCCUACUCCUGCAUGCUUGUGCUCCCUCUUUAAAAUCUUUAAAAAAUUGCUUUUUGAGAUAGUUGUGUAACCUUUUGUUUGCCCAUGUAUUUACAUUUUUUUAACUUUCAAUUGUUAGACACUUGGAUUGUUUCCAAUGAAAUUAUCUACUGUGCUUGAUAGGGUAUAAGUUUUAUAUUUGAGUGAAGGUAAUUCCAGAACUGAAAGACUGCAAAGUCUGUAGCAGUGAAGAAACCAGUCCCAGAAUUUGUUACAGUAGAAACUGAAAGCCUUCCCAAGUUUCAGAGAAAUCUGUGUGGAAGGUCCUGUGACUUGCCAUCAGGGAGAGACAUGGCAAAGAAAGGACAUUCUUAGGGGGGAAAUAGAAAUACACAUUUUCUUAGACUUAGGAUGGGGUUAUGUCCCAAUAAGCCCAUCAUAAAUUGAAGAUACAGGAAGUAAAAAAUGGUAUUUAAUACACCAAACUAGUUACCAAAUAUGAUAGCUUAGUCUAGCUUACCUUAGAGGUGGCUCAGAACACUUACAUGAGCCUACAGUUGGGUAAAAUCCUCUAAUACAAAGCCAGUUUUAUAAUAAAGUGUUGAAUACUGAAAGCGAACAACAGAAUGGUCAUUAAGUGUAUCAGUUGGUUACACUCAUGAUCACAUGGCCGCCUGGGAAUGGCAUCGCCCCCUCCCACAUCAUGAGAGAGUAUCGUGCUGCAUACUGCUAGACUGGGAAAAGAUGCAAAUUCAAAAUUCGAAAUAUGAUUUCUACUAAAUGUGUAUUGCUUCUGUACCAUGAUAAAGUUGAAAAGUCCAUAAGUCAAACCAUUGUAAGUCAAGGACCAUCUGUAGUCAGUUAAUAGAGUAAGCUGGGAAGUUGAGUGUCUGCUGUGUAAUUACCUAGUUGGUUUGGAAGUAGUGUAUACGUUUUUUCAAAUGCAGUCUGUGUAGUCCUGGGGCCCACCUUGGUCUUUUCCCAGCAGCCCUGGGGGAGCGUGGAUCCAAGGAGGGUUCUGGUUAUUAAUCUUUGAUGUGCUCAAGGAGGAUAGGAGGGCUGGGAAUAUUAGGUUCCGGUGAAGGAUGAAGAAGGUGAGCUUUAGGACGAGUAUGGGUUUUGAGAAGGGGGGGGGGGGGAUUUAAAUUUGAAUUAGUUAGGUAGGAUUGGGUUUGAAGCCACUUAAUAGGUAGCCGAUUGUAACAAGAAUAAGACAUCUUCCUGAACAUAUCAACAGUUCAUUAAUUUUGUUUUGUUUUCAUUCAACAGAUACUUGUGUGUCAGGUACCCACCAGGCUGGGCACUGGCAGCUUAUUUGUAUUGAAAAUAUUACUAUAUGGUACGUGGAAAAUGUAUUCAUGGAAUAAAAUCACUUUGGCUGGAUUGGAAACAUGGUUCAGUCUUAUUAAAAAUACACAUCUUUGAACAACCUCCAAGACAGUGUAAACAAUACUCUCUCUGUUUUAAAAUAAGGAAAGUCCAAAUCUCUGAAAUGCCAGUUACUAUGCAGUUUUAAAUUUUUUUUUUUCCCCUUGGUUAACAUCAUGUCUGGUUUCUCAGAUGCCUUAAUGAAACUUUUCAGAAUCUUUAUGCAAAUAUAGAAGUUGUAAAUAUCUAUGUGCCUUUCCCCCAGCCCCUUAAGGCCUUCCUCCUGAGAUUAGUUCUUCUCAUUGGAUUCUGGGAAGUCAUUAAGCACUGAUUUUUCUUAGCCAGAACCAAGUAUCAAAACUGUCUUUUUCAGACUGGGAUUAUUAAUGUGAGACUGGAGAAUGCUGUUCUCACUGUGGCAAGGUCCAGUGAGGUGCCAAAGGGGAAAUUCCUAAAGGGAAUAUCCAACAACCCAGGAGGCCUGAAGAUCAUUGCUAUGGCAGCAAGAGGUGGCUCUGGCCUAUUCCUUUCGUGGUUGGGGCUUCCAGGGCCUGCGCUCAGCAGGCACAGGGAUAGAGCUGCCAGUUUGACUUCAGGCGACAAAAGAGUAUUCUUCAUCUGACCAGCCUCUAGUCACCUUUGUUGCCUUAAACUUGCAAGUUAUCUGUGUAAAGUGACCAUCAUACAUUCUAGGAAUGGUCUGGGGGCUAUAGACUUGGCAUUUCAGGGAGACCUGGUGUUCAAUCCGGCUCAACCAUUGAACAGUUAGGAAAUUUUGGACAAAUGAACCUCUGUAUAUCUGUUGUCUUUUUUUUUUUUUUUUUUAAUUUGAAAAUGAAGAUACCUGUCUUGUAGACUCAUGCCUGGGAUUAAUUGGAAGUAUUUAUAUCUAAAACCAUGAAAUACUAGUACAACUCCUUGCCUGUCUUAUUAGUUUCACAAUUAAAUGUCUGUAACUAAAUUAUUAAAAGUUUUUGAACAUCAGCACAUACAAGUUCAUAAGAUUGGUUUAAGCUGCCCACUUUAGUUUUUAUUCAGUAAUUCAGUAGUUAAUAUUUGGUGAAGGAUCAUUGUUGUCCAAAUAUAAAUAAUGCUGUUUUGUAACUCAUCAGUUCAUAGAAUGUGAUUCUUUGUAAGCAGAUUUUCUGGCCCUUUGCAAUCAUUAGAAAAGGCUCUACCUGGAGAUAGAUUUGGAGAUAGUGAGCACACAAUGUGUAUAUUGUAAACCUUUAUCCCUUUUUUCCUUUAGGAAAAAAAAAAAAAAA
rnacentral:lncRNA from 1 species